AAAACCCAGCCACCCCGAAUAGUCUCAGCCCACUCCCGUGUGUGCUGGAUAGGGUUCCCCGCCAUCCUCACCGAUCGCCGCCGCCGCCCUCACCGGUCGCUGCCGCCGCCCUCACCGGUCGCCGCCGCCGUCGGUUUCCCCUACAUGGCCGGAGGAUAGGCCAUCCCGCCGGUCCAUUCUCGCCCCACCGCGAGGGAGGAGACCGACCAGUUGCGCCUCCCCGCCGGUCGCCGCCAGCCACCCCAAGCUAUGACGUACCCCGCCGCCAGGAGGCCAGGAGGCCGCCAUGGAGGCCCGUCCCGAGCUCGCCUCGCUGCUCCUCCGGUGACCCUCGUUGCGCCUGGAUCCGGGCGGAUCCGACGAUUCCCCGACGCGCAGGCGGGCCGGCACACGGUGCUAGGCGAAGGAGCCCUCCCAUGGCGGAUGAAUCGACUGUAGUGUGCAGCAGAUAGGACAGAUGUAGUCGUCCAUGAGGCUGCUGGCGGAUGCUGUGUGGAGGAAGGACGGUCCCCAGAACAUAAUGCAGUAGUCGCCCACUUAGUACUCUGAUUGCUCGUGAAGGCAAGGUCUUGCGUGAAGGUCAUCCUCCUACAUCGCUGUGUCAGGCACUCUGAUUGCUCGUGUUGAUCGGAGUUAGAAAAGAGGAACCCAGAUUUUUGUCCGUGAACUGUAAGCAGCAACAAAAUCUUGCAAUUUCUAAUUUUCUUUUCUAGCCAUCUACGUGAUUCAGGUGCCUGGUUCCGUGCCCUCCUUUGCAUUUUUUUAAUUCAAUCAGCAGCGUUCUUAGUUUCUUCUAUCAUAUGUUUGUGUGCUAAUUCCAUGCCUUGCUCCAGUAACUAACAAGACUACUCUUAAUUUACCAAGAUGUCAUCUAGAAUGUAUCCAUCUGCUAAUGACUUGAUGGAGUCAUAGAAAUGAGCUAUUGACACUUUUUUAGAAUAGAUGCAACUGCUUGUAAUUCUGAAUAACUAGCUUUAGUUACUGUUAAAAACAACCUGUGAAAAAUUUCUUGACUGGCCCUGCUCACGAGAGCCGAAAUCCCUGGGCCCCCGAAAUUUCUUGACUGGCCCUACUCACGAGAGCCAAAAUCCCUGGAGGCUGGAGUGGUAGAUGAUCUCAUGCGACAGUGGGUUGAAAGUGAGCUAGAUGCUCGUGCCGUCGGUUUCGAACGCGUGCUGCCGGUCGGCUCCUUGUGUCCUCCAGUGGCUUCCAUUGAGGUAGGCUUUGUGGAGGCAUGUGUAUGGGUUGUAGUCUAGUCGUGCGUCGGUUCUCACCAGGUUCAUCCUGUGGCAUUUCUUGGAGCAGAUGCAGUCGACAUGUAUGCUGGGAGCAUGCUAAUGGGGGCACCUAAAGUGUUCGACGGAAUGGCUAUCAUAUUGGUGCUUUACCAUCUCACCUCACCACCACGUGAGCAAAACCACCUACCAGAGCAUCGGGGUUGACUUGUCUGGUUUUAGAAAGUAGAGGGGAUUAAGAUCCCAGUUUUAGAGGUCAGGGCCUCAGGGGGCUAUGUGGCCAAAAUGUAAUACUUAUGGGGCCAUAUACACUUUUUUCUUAAAUCUAAUAGGUUUCUUCCUCAGUGAUAUCCCAAAUUAUCCCACCAAGAAAGAUGGCCGCGUCGUCCUGGCCUGCGCUCCCGGCCACCCAGCGGGAUGUCCAGGCUGUCGUUGCCAAGGACGUGGAGCUGCACUGGCCUCUAUUGGCGCACCGUGCCCAAUGUCAGUGCUGCCAAUAUUGCUUAUUUGAUCAACUUCGGGUCUGCAAUAGUUUAAUUAGCUCUUUUUAGAGAUAUAGACUAAUCAAUACAGUAGCUUAAUAACUUGUAAUCACUAGGGCCAAUUAGCUGAUGGGAGACAGGGAGAACGAAGGUUGACGAGGCUUAGGCAGUCUGCUGACAGGAAAUGCAAUAGUGAUUUCGCAAGAGAAAUGGAGGUGAUGGCUAGGCUCUGGCACGACAAUGUUAUCCACCUCCUUGCUUACUUCAGUGAAUGCGAUGAGCGGAUACUCAUCUAUAGCUAUAUGUCGAACAACAGCAUGGAUCUCUGCUUAUACUUCUAUAUUUUUUCUUGCCUAUGCUCAGAAUUUGGAUCACAAUAGUAAAUAGAUCAUUAGGUUCUCUUCUAUAAUUGUUGGUUGUUGUUGUUCUGUGCUCCAACACAUACGAGCAGCUCACUGUUGCACGGAGAUAAGUUUCAUGCACAUAAUUAAAGUUCCGGAUAACCGAAGUACAAAUCUGUAAAUACCUUUAGAGAAAGCUUGUAUGCUUGACAUGCUUGACCAUGUAAAAGCUCAUGCAUGAGUAAUUAUAUCGUCAGAUUAUUCUUUUUAUCUGCAAGGUGAGCUUCAAAAUUCUGUAAACUAGCAUUUCCAAUAGUUCAGAGCUGCCACUUUACUUUCAGUAUUUAGGUGGAUGAUCUCUGUUUAAAUUCCUAAUACAAGUAAUGCACUCCGGCAAGUUCUAUUUAUUUGUGUCCUUGCUGCCAAUAGAUGUAAUUUUAUCGCGAGCACCCAAGUACAGCAGCACUAUUGUCGUUCAUUAUUGUUGGCUUAUGCCCUAGAGAGAAAAUAAUUAGCAUUUACCGUGUACCGGACUGUAGUUGUACCAUAUGCCUAUUGUAUCAUUUUCAUCCUUGAUAGAUGCAGCGAGUAAAUUGUCACUGAAAAAUGUUGUGGUUGCAGCGUUUGUUUUGUUAAUUCUGCAUUCCUUCCUUUAUGAGAAAAGUGUUACUUCUGCGUUAGUUAUAUGUUAUGUUUCUCUAUGUCCAAUUCUUGUAUUGACUUCAGAUUGUGCAUAUGUGGAGAAGCAUGUCUGCUCCCAGUGGAGAGGACUUUCAGAAAGACAACUUAGACACUUGCUUUAGCAUUCACGUUUACUAUUUUUGUAAAAAUAUUCAUACGUGUGUUUGAAUUGUUUUUAGUAGCUGUCUUUAUUACUCUCUAUGAUUGAAAAAAAAAUCGGAGGCUGCCUACAGCAAGUCCGUUUGUCAUCAACGCCUUUCUUUGCUUGGUAGCUCCACAUCCAAUCUUUCAAGCUACAUCCAUAUGUAAGAAAGUUACAAUUAAUCCAGUACUAAUAGUUUUGUACGUACGUAUAUGCGCACUCACCCCUUCUAUAUACAUAUGAUUCAGGAGCAUCUUUUACUAGCAUUUUGUUUCAUUGCCCCAUACAAAAUGUAUGCAAGUGAUGUCUAUUGUUUUUUCCUUUGUCUAAAUAUACUACAGAAGCAUGUCUUGAAUAAAAGCUGGUUGGCGUCGUUGCAAUUGCCAAAUGUGUGUGGACGUAUUUUUCAUCUUCCACAUGUUCUGUGUCGAGAGCAAUGAGAAAGCUAGGUAGGGAGAACAACAAGUCUUCUGCAAGGUGAAAAUUGAGAAGGAAAUAUUUGGCUUGGAUGACAGGGUUCAUCGGCCGGAAACCAUAUGUUUGAUUUUGCUCGAUAACUACUUAGCAACAAUAUGGCAUCACUUUGAUUGAUAUCUUGGUGCAUCUUUUAUUGUUCAGUAGGCUCCACUUAUUGAUUAAACAUUGUCCACCCGAUCUUUUGUGACUCACUCCGUAGCGUAGCACGGGCAUCUUGCCAGUUAGUACAUAUAUGCCUUGAUCAGGCUUUUCUUCCUUUGUGUGUUACAACGAACCGUGCCAACAUUUGUGAAUUGUGAAAAGCAUAUAUAGCUGUGCUAUAGAUUGAAAAGCUAAGUAAACAAAAACAAUCAAACUUCUUUAGGCAAUAAGAAAUCCAAUUAGUAAACAACAAAGGAAUACAAUUCCAUAGUUCCACGAAUAACCAUUGCAGAGGUUUGAUUGUUUAGGCAAGCUGCUUACUUCUCUCCGCCAUUCGUCCGAGUAGAUCAGUUCAGUCUGUUUGUUUAUUAUUAAGUACUUGAUGUAGCUAGCUUUAAGGUUUCCAUCUGUUCUUCAUUCUAGGCUAACAACUAAUUUAUGCUUUUUUUAUAUAGGCUAUAAUUUCCAAUAUUUAUGUUUGCUAUAUAUUUGUUUUUUUCCUGAACAUAUAGCCAGACGUUAGGAGUGAAGGGCUCCAAGGUGGCACAAUGGUUUACAAGAAAACAUCCAAAUGGAGAAGAGCAAAAAUCGCUAAGGCUGUACGUUAGGAGUGAAGGGCUCCAAGGUGGCACAAUGGUUUACAAGAAAACAUCCAAAUGGAGAAGAGCAAAAAUCGCUAAGGCUGUGUAUCUUUCUCACCUGCUCUUUCAAACAUAAUAAUUCUUUAUAUUAUUCCCCUUUUUAUUUGUUAAAGCACAAUUAAUUAUCGGCGAGAAUGUAGGGGCAACGGAACAUUUCAUGUCUGACAUGCUAUUUUGGUUUGAACAUAGCUAUAUUAAGUAAGUUACUCUGACCACAUCGAUACCGAUGUUGUAUGUAUCAAAAGUCAUCCUUCUACGUGGAUUAAUAAAGAAGGAUGAGAUGGUCACAACUAACACUUUAGCAACAUACUAAAUUCUACACAUUGCCAUUGCAGAGGUUUGAUUGUUUAGGCAAGCUGCUUACUUCUCUCCGCCAUUCGUCCGAGUAGAUCAGUUCAGUCUGUUUGUUUAUUAUUAAGUACUUGAUGUAGCUAGCUUUAAGGUUUCCAUCUGUUCUUCAUUCUAGGCUAACAACUAAUUUAUGCUUUUUUUAUAUAGGCUAUAAUUUCCAAUAUUUAUGUUUGCUAUAUAUUUGUUUUUUUCCUGAACAUAUAGCCAGACGUUAGGAGUGAAGGGCUCCAAGGUGGCACAAUGGUUUACAAGAAAACAUCCAAAUGGAGAAGAGCAAAAAUCGCUAAGGCUGUGUAUCUUUCUCACCUGCUCUUUCAAACAUAAUAAUUCUUUAUAUUAUUCCCCUUUUUAUUUGUUAAAGCACAAUUAAUUAUCGGCGAGAAUGUAGGGGCAACGGAACAUUUCAUGUCUGACAUGCUAUUUUGGUUUGAACAUAGCUAUAUUAAGUUACUCUGACCACAUCGAUACCGAUGUUGUAUGUAUCAAAAGUCAUCCUUCUACGUGGAUUAAUAAAGAAGGAUGAGAUGGUCACAACUAACACUUUAGCAACAUACUAAAUUCUACACAUUGCAUAGUAGUAGAAUUUUCACUACGAAAAGAAACCCUGAAUUAGUUUUCAAAAUUAUAAGUCAUGGCUUUCAAAGUUUUAAUAUGAUUGUUGUUGCUAUUUGCCAUGUCGCAAACGUCGGCCGAUGCACACCAUGUUGCGUGCUGUUCUGCGAUUUCUGAGGUACUCUCUCUCUCUCUCUCUCAAAAUGGUAAAAGAACUCGUACUAAACGGGAGGGUCUACAAUUUUACUACCUGACAUGACUUACCACUGUAUUUUUCUUCUUCUAAUUACAACAUGUAGAAAUGUGUGUUAAGAGUUCAAUCAUAUACAAAGAUGCCUAUAUGUUGUUUUUGGUUUUACCUCCAUAAAACUAAAAUGGUUCUCUACUAACAGAGAGGCAGUGGAUAUGUGCUUCUCAAUCAAGGAGCUUUUGUCAAACCGGGUAUGCAACCAUGCACGUUGUAGUUCAUACUAUAUGGAAUUUACUUUCAGUAGGAAUGUGCGUAUGUUGCUCCGGUGAUAGUAAGCAUUUGCAUUGUUUCAAUACAUAUCACAAGUCCUAUUUUACAGAUAUAAGUUGCAUCAUAAUAAUCUUCACAUUUUAGUUGCAUCAUAAUAAUCUUCUUCUUCUAGUCUUCUUCUUCUAACUUUCUUUUUUCCCA